rnacentral:misc_RNA from 1 species
UUCAUCUACCUCCAACAAUCCCAGAUUCGUUCAAUUUGAAAUCUGCGCAUUUUCACAGGUUACAUAGGUGGAAAAGGAGAAGAGAUGGAUCCAGAUUCAGUUAAAUCGACUCUCUCUAAUUUGGCAUUUGGAAAUGUAAUGGCUGCUGCUGCUCGUGAUUACCAGAAGGAAGUGCUGGCUCAAGAAAAAGCGCAAGCAUCAUCUUCUGUUAAUGAAGACAUAGAUCUUGAUGAACUGAUGGAUG